rnacentral:rRNA from 1 species
AUUGAACGCUGGCGGCAUGCCUUACACAUGCAAGUCGAACGGCAGCACGGGUGCUUGCACCUGGUGGCGAGUGGCGAACGGGUGAGUAAUACAUCGGAACGUACCUUAUCGUGGGGGAUAACGCAGCGAAAGCUGUGCUAAUACCGCAUACGCCCUGAGGGGGAAAGCGGGGGAUCGCAAGACCUCGCGCGAUUAGAGCGGCCGAUGCCUGAUUAGCUUGUUGGUGGGGUAAAAGCCCACCAAGGCGACGAUCAGUAGCUGGUCUGAGAGGACGAUCAGCCACAGUGGGACGGAGACACGGCCCAGACUCCUACGGGAGGCAGCAGUGGGGAAUUUUGGACAAUGGGGGCAACACUGAUCCAGCAAUGCCGCGUGAGUGAAGAAGGCCUUCGGGUUGUAAAGCUCUUUUGUCAGGGAAGAAACACCGGCUCUAACACAGUCCGGGAAUGACGGUACCUGAAGAAUAAGCACCGGCUAACUACGUGCCAGCCGCCGCAGUAA